rnacentral:tRNA from 1 species
GAGGGUACAACUCAGUGGUAGAGUGUGUGCCUAGCAUGUAUGAGGUCCUGGGUUCAAUCCCUGGCACCUCCA